rnacentral:rRNA from 1 species
GUGCCAGCCGCGCGGUAAUACGGUGGGUGCAAGCGCUGUCCGGAAUCACUGGGCGUAAAGGGUGCGCAGGCGGGGCAGCAAGUCGGAGGUGAAAGCCCGUGGCUCAACCACGGAAGUGCCUUCGAAACUGUUGCUCUUGAGUCCCGGAGAGGUUGCCGGAAUUCGUGGUGUAGCGGUGAAAUGCGUAGAUAUCACGAGGAACACCAGAGGCGAAAGCGGGCAACUGGACGGGUACUGACGCUCAGGCACGAAAGCGCGGAGAGCAAACAGGAUUGGAAACCCGAGUAGUCC